rnacentral:rRNA from 1 species
AACGUAGGAAGCGAGCGUUAUCCGGAUUUACUGGGCGUAAAGCGUGUGUAGGCGGUUCGGCAAGUUGGAUGUGAAAGCUCCUGGCUUAACUAGGAGAGGUCGUUCAAUACUACCGAACUUGAGGGCAUCAGAGGAAGGUGGAAUUCCCGGUGUAGUGGUGAAAUGCGUAGAUAUCGGGAGGAACACCAGUGGCGAAGGCGGCCUUCUGGGAUGUUCCUGACGCUCAGACACGAAAGCUAGGGUAGCGAAC